rnacentral:rRNA from 1 species
UACGGAGGAUGCAAGCGUUAUCCGGAAUGAUUGGGCGUAAAGCGUCCGCAGGUGGCUGUGUAAGUCUGCUGUUAAAGAGUGAGGCUCAACCUCAUAAAAGCAGUGGAAACUACACGGCUAGAGUGCGUUCGGGGCAGAGGGAAUUCCUGGUGUAGCGGUGAAAUGCGUAGAUAUCAGGAAGAACACCGGUGGCGAAGGCGGGAUCCUGGGCCAGUACUGACGCUGAGGAGCGAAAGCGUGGGGAGCAAACAGG